UGCGUAGGCGGUCGGGUAAGUCUGAUGUGAAAUCUCAGAGCUCAACUCUGAAACUGCAUUGGAUACUAUUCGGCUUGAGGUCUGGGAGGGGGGGCUGGAAUUCUCGGUGUAGCAGUGAAAUGCGUAGAUAUCGAGAGGAACACCAGUGGCGAAGGCGAGUCCCUGGACAGGUCCUGACGCUGAGGACACAAAGGCUAGGGGAGCAAACA
rnacentral:rRNA from 1 species